AGUGAACGCUGGCGGUAGGCCUAACACAUGCAAGUCGAACGGCAGCACAGUAAGAUCUUGCUCUUACGGGUGGCGAGUGGCGGACGGGUGAGGAAUACAUCGGAAUCUACUUUUUCGUGGGGGAUAACGUAGGGAAACUUACGCUAAUACCGCAUACGACCUACGGGUGAAAGCAUGGGAUCUUCUGACCUUGCGCGAUUGAAUGAGCCGAUGUCGGAUUAGCUAGUUGGCGGGGUAAAUGCCCACCAAGGCGACGAUCCGUAGCUGGUCUGAGAGGAUGAUCAGCGACACUGGAACUGAGCCACGGUCCAGACUCCUACGGGAGGCAGCAGUGGGGAAUAUUGGACAAUGGGCGCAAGCCUGAUCCAGCCAUACCGAGUGGGUGAAGAAGGCCUUCGGGUUGUAAAGCCCUUUUGUUGGGAAAGAAAAGCAGCAGGUUAAUACGCCGCUGUUCUGACGGUACCCAAAGAAUAAGCACCGGCUAACUUCGUG
rnacentral:rRNA from 1 species